rnacentral:rRNA from 1 species
CAGGGUGACAGCCCCGUACACAAAAAUGCACAUGCUGUGAGCUCGAUGAGUAGGGCGGGACACGUGGUAUCCUGUCUGAAUAUGGGGGGACCAUCCUCCAAGGCUAAAUACUCCUGACUGACCGAUAGUGAACCAGUACCGUGAGGGAAAGGCGAAAAGAACCCCGGCGAGGGGAGUGAAAAAGAACCUGAAACCGUGUACGUACAAGCAGUGGGAGCACAGAGCAAUCUGUGUGACUGCGUACCUUUUGUAUAAUGGGUCAGCGACUUAUAUUCUGUAGCAAGGUUAACCGAAUAGGGGAGCCGAAGGGAAACCGAGUCUUAACUGGGCGUUAAGUUGCAGGGUAUAGACCCGAAACCCGGUGAUCUAGCCAUGGGCAGGUUGAAGGUUGGGUAACACUAACUGGAGGACCGAACCGACUAAUGUUGAAAAAUUAGCGGAUGACUUGUGGCUGGGGGUGAAAGGCCAAUCAAACCGGGAGAUAGCUGGUUCUCCCCGAAAGCUAUUUAGGUAGCGCCUCGUGAAUUCAUCUCCGGGGGUAGAGCACUGUUUCGGCAAGGGGGUCAUCCCGACUUACCAACCCGAUGCAAACUGCGAAUACCGGAGAAUGUUAUCACGGGAGACACACGGCGGGUGCUAACGUCCGUCGUGAAGAGGGAAACAACCCAGACCGCCAGCUAAGGUCCCAAAGUCAUGGUUAAGUGGGAAACGAUGUGGGAAGGCCCAGACAGCCAGGAUGUUGGCUUAGAAGCAGCCAUCAUUUAAAGAAAGCGUAAUAGCUCACUGGUCGAGUCGGCCUGCGCGGAAGAUGUAACGGGGCUAAACCAUG